rnacentral:rRNA from 1 species
AGUAACGCGUGAGGAACCUGCCUCAAAGAGGGGGACAACAGUUGGAAACGACUGCUAAUACCGCAUAAGCCCACGGCUCGGCAUCGAGCAGAGGGAAAAGGAGCAAUCCGCUUUGAGAUGGCCUCGCGUCCGAUUAGCUAGUUGGCGAGGUAAUGGCCCACCAAGGCGACGAUCGGUAGCCGGACUGAGAGGUUGAACGGCCACAUUGGGACUGAGACACGGCCCAG